rnacentral:tRNA from 1 species
GGCCCCAUCGUCUAGCGGUUAGGACAUCAGCUUUUCAAGCUGAGAACAGGAGUCCGACUCUCCUUGGGGCUA